ACCAAUCCAACGACAACAUUGAGCGGCAGAAAUGGAAAAAUGAGAUCCUUUCGAGGUUGUGAUGGCCUACCACCGUCGGUCACCAGGCAAACCAAUGCCAGUCGGCCAGUCGAAAUCUCCCCAAGGUUGUUGCAGAGCAGUGAGAGCCAGGUCGAAGAGAAACGCCACUCGUCAACAGUGUUUGAGGACUUGGCAGACACCGCCAGUGCCAAGCUCUUGGUCAAGUUUUGAAACCUGCAGAAGACGGAGCUCCUUUGACCUCAAUUUAUUUCCACAGAUCCUGCCUGAGCGUGUCAGCUUGGAAGGGCGGUUUUGGCUUCAGCACCAAUGGUGGGACCGCGAUGCCUCCUUGGACAACAGAGUGCGAGGACGCUUGCCAUCUUCACCCUCGGCUUUUCCCAAUAACUCUGGAAAAGCCGUGAACGACAGCCAGAUGGACGUCUUUGAAAAAAAUUCGUCAGGUCGAAGAGAAACGCCACUCGUCAACAGUGUUUGAGGACUUGGCAGACACCGCAGUUCUAGGCUUUUGCUCAAGUUUUGAAACCUUCAGUACACAGAGCUCCUUUGACCUCAAGCCUCAACCAAUCCAAUGACAACAUUGAGCGGCAGAAAUGGAAAAAUGAGAUCCUUUCGAGGUUGUGAUGGCCUACCACCGUCGGUCACCAGGCAAACCAAUGCCAGUCGGCCAGUUGAAAUCUCCCCAAGGUUGUUGCAGAGCAGUGAGCAGGUCGAAGAGAAACGCCACUCGUCAACAGUGUUUGAGGACUUGGCAGACACCGCCAGUGCCAAGCUCUUGGUCAAGUUUUGAAACCUGCAGAAGACGGAGCUCCUUUGACCUCAAUUUAUUUCCACAGAUCCUGCCUGAGCGUGUCAGCUUGGAAGGGCGGUUUUGGCUUCAGCACCAAUGGUGGGACCGCGAUGCCUCCUUGGACAACAGAGUGCGAGGACGCUUGCCAUCUUCACCCUCGGCUUUUCCCAAUAACUCUGGAAAAGCCGUGAACGACAGCCAGAUGGACGUCUUUGAAAAAAAUUCGUCAGGUCGAAGAGAAACGCCACUCGUCAACAGUGUUUGAGGACUUGGCAGACACCGCAGUUCUAGGCUUUUGCUCAAGUUUUGAAACCUUCAGUACACAGAGCUCCUUUGACCUCAAGCCUCAACCAAUCCAAUGACAACAUUGAGCGGCAGAAAUGGAAAAAUGAGAUCCUUUCGAGGUUGUGAUGGCCUACCACCGUCGGUCACCAGGCAAACCAAUGCCAGUCGGCCAGUUGAAAUCUCCCCAAGGUUGUUGCAGAGCAGUGAGCAGGUCGAAGAGAAACGCCACUCGUCAACAGUGUUUGAGGACUUGGCAGACACCGCCAGUGCCAAGCUCUUGGUCAAGUUUUGAAACCUGCAGAAGACGGAGCUCCUUUGACCUCAAUUUAUUUCCACAGAUCCUGCCUGAGCGUGUCAGCUUGGAAGGGCGGUUUUGGCUUCAGCACCAAUGGUGGGACCGCGAUGCCUCCUUGGACAACAGAGUGCGAGGACGCUUGCCAUCUUCACCCUCGGCUUUUCCCAAUAACUCUGGAAAAGCCGUGAACGACAGCCAGAUGGACGUCUUUGAAAAAAAUUCGUCAGGUCGAAGAGAAACGCCACUCGUCAACAGUGUUUGAGGACUUGGCAGACACCGCAGUUCUAGGCUUUUGCUCAAGUUUUGAAACCUUCAGUACACAGAGCUCCUUUGACCUCAAGCCUCAACCAAUCCAAUGACAACAUUGAGCGGCAGAAAUGGAAAAAUGAGAUCCUUUCUAGGUUGUGAUGGCCUACCACCGUCGGUCACCAGGCAAACCAAUGCCAGUCGGCCAGUUGAAAUCUCCCCAAGGUUGUUGCAGAGCAGUGAGCAGGUCGAAGAGAAACGCCACUCGUCAACAGUGUUUGAGGACUUGGCAGACACCGCCAGUGCCAAGCUCUUGGUCAAGUUUUGAAACCUGCAGAAGACGGAGCUCCUUUGACCUCAAGUAGGUUUAAAUAAAUUCUGCAUGCGACGAUCAAGACAGUAAUGUGACUAGGUUGAGUUGUGCAUUUGCCACAGAUAGGCGCAACAUCCUCCACCCACUUUUACCAGUUUUGCCUGAGAGCCCAAUGUUUUCAUUUUUAUUAUACUGUAAUUUAAAUUUAAAGUUUAAUGAAUAGUUAUCUGGGUGAAUUUUGUCAUUAUUACUAAAAAAAAUGUAUAAAUGAAGCAACUGCACUUAUGCCAAUUAUCUUUUUGUAAUGGAGUGGUUGCACCCGCAACAGAUACCGGUCCAACGGAGCGGACAACAGCUGAAGGCCGCCCCUAACAGGGGACGUUGCCCGCCACCGCUGGCAAUGCGUCGUCUGAAUGGCUUGUGUGUGAAUAAUGCCGAGGCAUCACAACCACCCAUUGAGCUUCUGCAUUCGCCAUGCGGGAACACGAUUUGGUGUCCAGGGCUUGGUUGCGACUAAAGUCCUGUGUCUGAACGCAUGGGAGGUGCGGAGAAUUCAGAUGACACUGAUGCUGACGUGGUGCACUCAUGAGAUUGAGUUGUCAUGAGUGUGGCAAUGGGCGUGAAAGAGGUUGGGUUCGUUGUUGGCACCCUUGUGUAGUCCAGUAUUUUUGGUCACGCCGGGCUUGCCUCCUCGAACACCUUCCACGUUGCGCAACCGGGAGCCCCUGCCCCCGAACAAUAGCCGGAAGUGAGUCUCAGUACCGCGGAUGUCUGCUUAAGUUUGUCGGGAUGUCAAACCACUCCACUUUAAUACUUCUUUAUUAAAAAAUGGCCAAAUAACUUAUUAAAAGUAAAAAUGCAUGUUUCUUUGAACUUUAAGGACGGCUUUUGCAUGAACAGUGAGUGAAGUGCAAGUGGUUAUUUUUUUACCAAAAGAAAAAUCUAAACAAAUCUUAUUUAAAGUGGCCAAGUCCAAUGUAUUGAUUGUUCUCUUGUAACUUUUCCAAAAUUCGAGUGAUGCAAGAUAUUUAUAAUAGGACCGCAUAAUGCAGAAAGUUUCUGUUUACAAGCUUAUAUGAAUGAUUUUGAAUGCGCAGCAAACUAAAUACAAAUUUUUUUAAAUUCAAUCAUCAAAUUUUCUGCCCAUUACUUUUGUAUUGUAGAAUAUGAAUGCAAGGAUUAAAAAUUAGAAGUAUUGAGCAGCUACGGCGCAUGAAUGAAAAUGAUAGUGUUGAUUGUUAAAAUGCUUUGUACAAGACAUAUUAAAUGUGACCAAAUCAAUUGGCUAAGUGUUCUACAAACGGACUGAAAUAUAAUUUCUUGUUAGAUAAAGUAGGUUAAAUGAAUGUUACUAUUUAAUAGUGAAAAUAGAAUUUUAAAAGUGAAAAAAGUGCUAGUGAGAAUAGUUCAGUAGUUUGAAAGACGUGCAUGUGAAAUAGUUUGUGUUUGGUUUAUUUCCACAGAUCCUGCCUGAGCGUGUCAGCUUGGAAGGGCGGUUUUGGCUUCAGCACCAAUGGUGGGACCGCGAUGCCUCCUUGGACAACAGAGUGCGAGGACGCUUGCCAUCUUCACCCUCGGCUUUUCCCAAUAACUCUGGAGAAGCCGUGACCAACAGCCAGAUGGAUGUCUUGAAAAA